rnacentral:rRNA from 1 species
AUUGAACGCUGGCGGCAGGCCUAACACAUGCAAGUCGAACGAGUGGCGGACGGGUGAGUAAUGUCUGGGAAACUGCCUGAUGGAGGGGGAUAACUACUGGAAACGGUAGCUAAUACCGCAUACCAUCGGAUGUGCCCAGAUGGGAUUAGCUAGUAGGUGGGGUAAAGGCUCACCUAGGCGACGAUCCCUCGCUGGUCUGAGAGGAUGACCAGCCACACUGGAACUGAGACACGGUCCAGACGCCUACGUGAGGCAGCAGUGGGGAAUAUUGCACAAUGGACGAAAGCCUGAUCGAGCAAUGCCGCGUGAGUGAAGAAGGUCUUCGGAUUGUAAAGGACUGUUGGCAGGGAAGCGGUACCCGAAGAAGAAGCAACGGCUAACUACGUGCCAGCAGCCGCGGUAAUAC